UGUAUCCGUUUCUAAAAAGCUGUACCUUUUUAGACUAUCUCUUAAAAAUACAUUGUGGCAAGAGUUGGUAAGGUCUAUCGGGGUUUAUCGAUUAUAGAACAGGCUCCUCUAGGUAGAUGUGAAGCACCGCCAAGUCCUUUGAGUUUUAGGCUGUUGCGAGUAGUACUCUGGCGAAUAGUUUUGUUAUAUAACUAUUUGGGCAUGUUGUUGAGUCUCCAUGUGUUUGUGUUUUUUGCAGUUUUUUUCUUGUUGAUUUCUGGUCGUAUAACAUUGUGGUCAGAAAAGAUGCUUGAUAUGAUUUCAAUUUUCUUAAUGUUACUGAGCUUGGACUUGUAGCUCAGGAUGUUAUCAAUCUUAGAGAAUGUUCCAUGUGCACUUGAGAAGAAUGUGUAUUCUGUUGCUUUUGGAUAGAAUGUCCUAUAAAUAUCUAUUAAGUCCAUCUGGUCUAAUGCUUCAUUCAGGACCUGUGUUUCCUUAUUGAUUUUCUGACUGGUUGAUCUGUCCAUUGCUGUAAGUGGGGUGUUAAAGUCCCCCACUAUGAUUGUGUUAUUGGCGAUUUGUCUUUUUAAGGUUGUUAGCAGUUACCUUAUAUAUUGUGGUGAACCUGUGUUGGGUGCAUAGAUAUUUAAAAUUGUUAUAUCUUCUUCUUGGAUUGAUCCUUUGAUAAUUAUGUAAUGUCCUUCCUUGUCCCUGAAAAUAUUCUUCAGUCUAUUUUGUCUGAUAUGAGAAUUGCUACUCCAGCUUUCUUUUGAUCCCCGUUUGCAUGAAAUAUUUUCUUCCAUCCUCUCAGUUUCAAUUUGUCAGUGUCCCUAGAUGUGAAGUGGGUCUCUUGAAGACAGCAUAUAUAUGGGUCUUGUUUUUGUAUCCAUUCAGCCAGUCUAUGUCUUUUGAUUGGCGUG
rnacentral:lncRNA from 1 species